UUAUGGAGAGUUUGAUCCUGGCUCAGGAUGAACGCUGGCGGCGUGCCUAAUACAUGCAAGUCGAACGCGAGAGGAGGGAGCUUGCUCCCUCUGAUCGAGUGGCGGACGGGUGAGUAACACGUAGGCAACCUGCCCAUCAGUCCGGGAUAACCGCGGGAAACCGUGGCUAAUACCGGAUGAUCCUCUCCACCGCGGGGUGGGGAGUUGAAAGACGGUUUCGGCUGUCGCUGAUGGAUGGGCCUGCGGCGCAUUAGCUGGUUGGCGGGGUAACGGCCCACCAAGGCAACGAUGCGUAGCCGACCUGAGAGGGUGAUCGGCCACACUGGGACUGAGACACGGCCCAGACUCCUACGGGAGGCAGCAGUAGGGAAUCUUCCGCAAUGGACGCAAGUCUGACGGAGCAACGCCGCGUGAGUGAAGAAGGGUUUCGGCUCGUAAAACUCUGUUGUUAAGGAAGAACGACAGGUAGAGUAACUGCUACCUGUGUGACGGUACUUAACCAGAAAGCCACGGCUAACUACGUGCCAGCAGCCGCGGUAAUACGUAGGUGGCAAG
rnacentral:rRNA from 1 species